rnacentral:rRNA from 1 species
AGUGAACGCUGGCGGUAGGCCUAACACAUGCAAGUCGAACGGCAGCACAGUAAGAGCUUGCUCUUACGGGUGGCGAGUGGCGGACGGGUGAGGAAUACAUCGGAAUCUACUUUUUCGUGGGGGAUAACGUAGGGAAACUUACGCUAAUACCGCAUACGACCUACGGGUGAAAGCAGGGGAUCUUCGGACCUUGCGCGAUUGAAUGAGCCGAUGUCGGAUUAGCUAGUUGGCGGGGUAAAGGCCCACCAAGGCGACGAUCCGUAGCUGGUCUGAGAGGAUGAUCAGCCACACUGGAACUGAGACACGGUCCAGACUCCUACGGGAGGCAGCAGUGGGGAAUAUUACAAUGGGCGCAAGCCUGAUCCAGCCAUACCGCGUGGGUGAAGAAGGCCUUCGGGUUGUAAAGCCCUUUUGUUGGGAAAGAAAAGCAGCAGGUUAAUACCCCGCUGUUCUGACGGUACCCAAAGAAUAAGCACCGGCUAACUUCGUG